UGAGCAAUCUGCCCUUCUCAUCGGAAUAAGCGUUGGAAACGACGUCUAAUGCCGAAUACGACCUCCUUUCGCAUGAUCGGAGGUGGAAAGCUCCGGCGGAGAAGGAUGAGCUCGCGGCCUAUCAGCUAGUUGGUGUGGGUAACGGCCCACCAAGGCGACGACGGGUAGCCGGCCUGAGAGGGUGACCGGCCACACUGGGACUGAGACACGGCCCAGACUCCUACGGGAGNAG
rnacentral:rRNA from 1 species